UUUACCUCUUUCCUUCUUCUUUUCCCUCUUUUUUUGCUUCCUCUGUCCUUUUCCCUCUCAGAAUUUCCUUAAAGUUGUACAAUGAUGAACCAUUUCCCUCUUUUCUGAGCCCCCAGAUAAGGCUGACUUCAGCUAACUCAAAUGUUUCCAAAGUCCUUAUGGAAUCAUCAGAAGAAAAUAGAAGAAAGGCACUGUCCAGGACAUCCGCCUUUCAGAAGCUGUAGUCCCAGUGCGACUGGGUCUCUGAAUUCCCCCGAAUAUUCUUUAAAAUACUCUGUUGGUCAUUAGAAAUUAUUUUAAUUUUAUAGGAAGAAAAUGAGAGAAAAAUAUUAAUUUGCCUAAUUUUUUCAACUGAAGCAAUUCAGGUCCUCUGAAAUUGUUAAAGUCACAGUGCUCUUAUCUUCGGAGCUGCUCCAGAUCUUUCUUGAGAGUUGGGAACAUUGCUACACGCUUCAGGAAGAGAGAAAACCAGGGAGGAAGAAUGUUUGUUGGUGAAAGUAUGACGAUUUGUCGGAUGAGCAAAUGACUCAGACAUCCCCUCUAUGAAAGCUGGAAUGCGAUAUAUGCAAAGAUCAUGGAAGCUUUCUGAAAAUGGGAGAUCUCAGAUUCAUACCUUCCUAGUUUAGAAAGAAAUUGCUCUAUAGUCUUAGACUAAGAACGUUUGAACUCUGUUUCUGUAGUCAUAAAAUGAAAAUAGCACCAUAACCUAAAUGUGUUUCCAGAGACUGGCUGGAGGAAAGAAAAUCUUGGAUGCACAAUGUCAUGAAUAAAGAAUUUGCCUAAGCAAAUCUUUGACUUUUUGCAACUCCAAGUCAUCUGUAAAAGGUUG